rnacentral:rRNA from 2 species
UACGGAGGGUCCGAGCGUUGUUCGGAAUUAUUGGGCGUAAAGCGCACGUAGGCGGCUGGGUAAGUCUCACUGUGAAAGCCCGGGGCUCAACCCCGGGAGGCCAGGGGAUACUGCUCGGCUGGAGACAGGCAGAGGCUGGUGGAAUUCCGGGUGUAGCGGUGGAAUGCGUAGAGAUCCGGAGGAACACCUGAGGCGAAGGCGGCCAGCUGGGCCUGAUCUGACGCUGAGGUGCGAAAGCGUGGGGAGCGAACAGG